rnacentral:rRNA from 1 species
GAUGAACGCUAGCGGCAGGCCUAAUACAUGCAAGACGAACGGUAAGAUUUUUAGCAAUAAGAAUCCAAGAGUGUCGUAAGGGUGCGUAACACGUAUGCAAUCUGCCCUCAACAGGAGGAUAGCUCCCCGAAAGGGGAAUUAACACUCCAUAAGAUCACAUAAUGGCAUCAUUGAGUGAUUAAAACUACGGUGGUUGAGGAUGAGCAUGCGCAUGAUUAGUUAGUUGGCGGGGUAAUGGCCCACCAAGACGAUGAUCAUUAGGGGAACUGAGAGGUUGAUCCCCCACACUGGCACUGAGAUACGGGCCAGACUCCUACGGGUGGCAG